UAGGGAAUCUUCGGCAAUGGGGGCAACCCUGACCGAGCAACGCCGCGUGAGUUAAGAAGGUUUUCGGAUCGUAAAGCUCUGUUGUAAGAGAAGAACGUGUGUGAGAGUGGAAAGUUCACACAGUGACGGUAACUUACCAGAAAGGGACGGCUAACUACGUGCCAG
rnacentral:rRNA from 1 species